rnacentral:tRNA from 1 species
GGAGGGGUGGCCGAGUGGUUGAAGGCGCACGCCUGGAAAGUGUGUAUACGGGAAACCGUAUCGUGAGUUCGAAUCUCAUCCCCUCCG